AACGAACGCUGGCGGCGUGGUUUAGGCAUGCAAGUCGAGCGAGAAAGUCCUUCGGGACGAGUACAGCGGCGAAAGGGUGAGUAAUAUAUAGGUAACCUACCUCUUGGACUCGGAUAAUUCCUGGAAACGGGUUGUAAUACGAGGUCGUCCUAUUGGGUCGCAUGGCCCGACUGGUAAAUGGUAGCUCUGCUUCUGCCGAGAGAGGGGCCUAUAUCCUAUUAGCUAGUUGGUGAGGUAAUGGCUCACCAAGGCUUUGAUGGGUAGCCGGACUGAGAGGUUGGCCGGUCACACUGGGACUGAGACACUGCCCAGACUCCUACGGGAGGCUGCAGUCGAGAAUCUUCCGCAAUGGGCGAAAGCCUGACGGGGCGACGCCGCGUGAACGAAGAAGGCCUC
rnacentral:rRNA from 1 species